AAGUCGAGGCAGGCUCAACACAGCAAUUCGAGCGGUAGACAGGGAGCUUGCUCCUGUAUCAGCGGCGGACGGGUGAGUAAUGCCUAGGAAUCUGCCUGGUAGUGGGGGACAACGUUCCGAAAGGGGCGCUAAUACCGCAUACGUCCUACGGGAGAAAGUGGGGGAUCUUCGGACCUCACGCUAUCAGAUGAGCCUAGGUCGGAUUAGCUAGUUGGUGAGGUAAUGGCUCACCAAGGCGACGAUCCGUAACUGGUCUGAGAGGAUGAUCAGUCACACUGGAACUGAGACACGGUCCAGACUCCUACGGGAGGCAGCAGUGGGGAAUAUUGGACAUGGGCGAAAGCCUGUCCAGCCAUGCCGCGUGUGUGAAGAAGUCUUCGGUUGUAAAGCACUUUAAGUUGGGAGGAAGGGCAGUAAGUUAAUACCUUGCUGUUUUGACGUUACCGACAGAUAAGCACCGGCUAACUCUGUGCCAGCAGCCGCGUAAUAA
rnacentral:rRNA from 1 species